UUUUGUUCAGAUGGUGUUCCUUUCCAAUUUGUAGUAGACCAGAUAACAAUUGGGUCAGUUAUCAUUGGCUCUCUUAAGGGCCACUGAUGGUGCAGUGGUAGUGGUCAUAUAGUGGGUGGUGGUGGUCGUGAUAGUGUUGCAGUACAAUUGUUGCGGUUUUGUUGAAACAGGUGGAGUGUUGGUGAUCGAGAUGGUGUUGCAGUACAAUUGUUGUGGUUUUGUUGAAAAAGGUGGAGUGUACUGGUUUUGUUGAAACAGGUGGAGUGGUGGUGGUCGUGAUGGUGUUGCAGUACAAUUGUUGUGGUUGAAACAGGUGGGAGUGGUGGUGGUACUGGUGGUAGUAGCAGUGCAGAAGUGGCUGUGGCACUAGUGUGAUGGUGGUGGCUUGGCGGUUGGGGUGGGGGUGCCGUGGAGGUGG
rnacentral:lncRNA from 1 species